rnacentral:rRNA from 1 species
CUACGUGCCAGCAGCCGCGGUAAUACGGAGGGUGCGAGCGUUAAUCGGAAUUACUGGGCGUAAAGCGCACGCAGGCGGUUACUUAAGUGGGAUGUGAAAGCCCCGGGCUCAACCUGGGAACUGCAUUUCAUACUGGGUCGCUAGAGUACUUUAGGGAGAGGUAGAAUUCCACGUGUAGCGGUGAAAUGCGUAGAGAUGUGGAGGAAUACCGAUGGCGAAGGCAGCCCCUUGGGAAUGUACUGACGUUCAUGCUCGAAAGCGUGGGGAGCAAACAGGAUUAGAUACCCUGGUAGUCCACGCUGUAAACGAUGUCAAUUUGCUGUUGGGCAUUUAAGUUUGGCUAGCGUAGCUAACGCGUUAAAUCGACCGCCUGGGGAGUACGGUCGCAAGAUUAAAACUCAAAGGAAUUGACGGGGACCCGCACAAGCGGUGGAUGAUGUGGAUUAAUUCGAUGCAACGCGAAGAACCUUACCUGGUCUUGACAU